rnacentral:lncRNA from 1 species
AUACCAAGAAUAUAAAAUAUAGGAAAAAUUUCAAAUACCGUCCCCUAUGAUUUCACACUUUCUUACUUUUAUACCCUAUAUUAAUUUUUUCGUUAAAUCAGUAACAAAGUUAAAACCACAGGGUAGGGUACUAAAGUAAAAAUUCGGUAAACCACAAGGCAUUAGAAUAAAUCAUAGGUGGGGUAUUUAAAAUUUUUUAUAUAUGAUUUAACGGAGAAUUAAUGGAGGUAUUGACGGAAAGAGAAAAAUAAAAUCAUAGGAUAUUAAAAUGAUAUAUUUUAAACUAUAAAAUAAUAAAGUGAGAAAACACGAAAUCACUUCUGAUAUUAAAAUAAUAUAUUUUAAACUAUAAAAUAAUAAAGUGAAAAAACGCGAAAUCAUAGAAAUGUGGUAUUUUGUAGAAGUU